AAAGGGUGCAAGCGUUACUCGGAAUUACUGGGCGUAAAGCGUGAGUAGGUGGUUUCUUAAGUCUGCUGUGAAAGCCCCGGGCUCAACCUGGGAAUUGCAGUGGAUACUGGGAAGCUAGAGUGCGGUAGAGGGUAGUGGAAUUCCCGGUGUAGCGGUGAAAUGCGUAGAGAUCGGGAGGAACACCAGUGGCGAAGGCGGCUACCUGGACCAGCACUGACACUGAGUCACGAAAGCGUGGGGAGCAAACAGGGAUUAGAUACCCUGGUAGUCCACGCCCUAAACGAUGCGAACUGGAUGUUGGGUGCAACUUGGCACUCAGUAUCGAAGCUAACGCGUUAAGUUCGCCGCCUGGGGAGUACGGUCGCAAGACUG
rnacentral:rRNA from 1 species